AAAUUAGCGGAUGACCUGUGGCUGGGGGUGAAAGGCCAAUCAAACCGGGAGAUAGCUGGUUCUCCCCGAAAGCUAUUUAGGUAGCGCCUCGUGAACUCAUCUCCGGGGGUAGAGCACUGUUUCGGCUAGGGGGCCAUCCCGGCUUACCAACCCGAUGCAAACUGCGAAUACCGGAGAAUGUUAUCACGGGAGACACACGGCGGGUGCUAACGUCCGUCGUGAAGAGGGAAACAACCCAGACCGCCAGCUAAGGUCCCAAAGUCAUGGUUAAGUGGGAAACGAUGUGGGAAGGCCCAGACAGCCAGGAUGUUGGCUUAGAAGCAGCCAUCAUUUAAAGAAAGCGUAAUAGCUCACUGGUCGAGUCGGCCUGCGCGGAAGAUGUAACGGGGCUAAACCAUGCACCGAAGCUGCGGCAGCGACAUUAUAUGUUGUUGGGUAGGGGAGCGUUCUGUAAGCCGUUGAAGGUGGCCUGUGAGGGCUGCUGGAGGUAUCAGAAGUGCGAAUGCUGACAUAAGUAACGAUAAAGCGGGUGAAAAGCCCGCUCGCCGGAAGACCAAGGGUUCCUGUCCAACGUUAAUCGGGGCAGGGUGAGUCGACCCCUAAGGCGAGGCCGAAAGGCGUAGUCGAUGGGAAACGGGUUAAUAUUCCCGUACUUGGUGUUACUGCGAAGGGGGGACGGAGAAGGCUAUGUUGGCCGGGCGACGGUUGUCCCGGUUUAAGCGUGUAGGCUGACUUUCCAGGCAAAUCCGGAAAGUUAAGGCUGAGGCGUGAUGACGAGGCACUACGGUGCUGAAGCAACAAAUGCCCUGCUUCCAGGAAAAGCCUCUAAGCAUCAGGUAACACGAAAUCGUACCCCAAACCGACACAGGUGGUCAGGUAGAGAAUACCAAGGCGCUUGAGAGAACUCGGGUGAAGGAACUAGGCAAAAUGGUGCCGUAACUUCGGGAGAAGGCACGCUGGCACGUAGGUGGAGGGACUUGCUCCCCGAGCCGAAGCCAGUCGAAGAUACCAGCUGGCUGCAACUGUUUAUUAAAAACACAGCACUGUGCAAACACGAA
rnacentral:rRNA from 1 species